CCUACGGGAGGCAGCAGUGAGGAAUAUUGGUCAAUGGGCGCGAGCCUGAACCAGCCAAGUAGCGUGAAGGAUGACUGCCCUACGGGUUAUAAACUUCUUUUAUAAAGGAAUAAAGUGAGGCACGUGUGCCUUUUUGUAUGUACUUUAUGAAUAAGGAUCGGCUAACUCCGUGCCAGCAGCCGCGGUAAUACGGAGGAUCCGAGCGUUAUCCGGAUUUAUUGGGUUUAAAGGGUGCGUAGGCGGAUCGUUAAGUCAGUGGUCAAAUUGAGGGGCUCAACCCCUUCCCGCCAUUGAAACUGGCGUUCUUGAGUGGAAGAGAAGUAUGCGGAAUGCGUGGUGUAGCGGUGAAAUGCAUAGAUAUCAUACAGAACACCGAUUGCGAAGGCAGCUUACCAAUCUAUAUCUGACGUUGAGGCACGAAAGCGUGGGGAGCAAACAGGAUUAGAUACCCCAGUAGUC
rnacentral:rRNA from 1 species